UUUCUCUUCUUCCUCUCUUAGGCUGGACGGUAUGGUCCGUCCUCAGCCCCGGCGCCGCCCGUCCUCCCACGCCGCCCCCUCCGUCCCGUCCCCAUCGUCCGAGUUGUGCCGUUUGCGACGGAGCAAACAGGUGGGCCCCCUUCAUCGUCCUCUCCGUCCUCCCAUCCCGCCCCCCGGUCUCCAUCCCGUCCUCGUCUUCAUCCCGUCACCAUACCCUUGAGCCUUAAAAAGAUUCAAAGAGAGAUGAGAGAGAAGUGUCACCGAUUACAUUUUACAUCCAUUCAUCGGUUGUCGAUAACUAAUAUAUGAUUGAUGACGAACAAUGAUGGCUACCCCUUUGUGAUAGCUCUAGGAUGAUGGUCACCGGCGGCAGAGACAACCUCCCUUCAACUGUCAUAAUAGAAGGAGGAGUGACGGUGGUUCGUUGGACAGGUUGGUCACGAACAUACGAUGAUUAAUAAUGAUUGCGGCAGUGGGUGUUGAUGAUUGUAGAAGGCGACUCGGUCAACAGAGUAGCUCUGGUUCAUCCGGACAAAUGAUGGGACGCUUAGAUAGCCUAUACUAACUAAAAUGCCAGGCCUCAUCUCUCUCGAUCCUAAAUUGCGCUUCUUAAAAUUAUUGACAAAGGCACGAUAUUCAAUUGCAAGGUUCAAAGGAGAAUAAAUUGUGAUCUUCUCGCAGCCUCGCAGGCGCGUUAGCGACGGUAUGCUUGCUAGCAUGCUGGAGGUUGUUCAUUAUGCUUUCGUCAAUCGUGUUGCAUAUAAAUGUUCGUAUCAGCGACAUUGCUCACAUAAAAUAGGUUCGUAUCAAUGGCUACUCAUAUGCAUGGCAUCACUCUCAUUGUAGGAACGAGGGCUGUUGCAACAGAUACGAAAGUCCUCAUGUCAACAUUAUGCAAGGGUCUUUGAUAUUUUAAGAGAGUUUAUACUCGAUUUAUUGAAACUUUUUAUGACAUUUGUUAUUAUAUAUCUAAGAAAGUUACCUUUAUAGAACGAUUUUCUUUAG